UACAGAGGUCUCAAGCGUUGUUCGGAUUCAUUGGGCGUAAAGGGUGCGUAGGCGGCGCGGCAAGUCGGGUGUGAAAUCUCGGAGCUUAACUCCGAAACUGCAUUCGAUACUGCCGUGCUUGAGGACUGGAGAGGAGACUGGAAUUUACGGUGUAGCGGUGAAAUGCGUAGAGAUCAUGAGGAAGACCAGUGGCGAAGGCGGGUCUCUGGACAGUUCCUGACACUGGGACACGAAGGCCAGGGGAGCAAACGGG
rnacentral:rRNA from 1 species